CGAGUUGGCCGGGCGGCCGCGGCCCGCUGCACAGCGGGUCGAGGAAAGUCCGGACUUCACAGAGCAGGGUGAUUGCUAACGGCAAUCCGAGGUGACUCGCGGGACAGUGCCACAGAGAACAGACCGCCUGCCGCUGCCGGGCUUCCGGGGGUGACAGGUAAGGGUGAAACGGUGCGGUAAGAGCGCACCAGCAUCCCGGGUGACCGGGAUGGCUCGGUAAACCCCACCCGAAGCAAGGCCAGAAGGCCGCAUCCGUGCGGCUGCGCAGGCGCUCGAGGGCUGCUCGCCCGAGCCUGCGGGUAGGCCGCUUGAGGUACCCGGCGACGGUGUGCCCAGAUGGAUGGUCGCUGCCGCCGCGUCUCGGCGCGGCGGGACAGAAUCCGGCUUACAGGCCAACUCGUCCG
rnacentral:RNase_P_RNA from 2 species